UACACCAUUGUGGAGAAGUACCACAUUUUCAUUAUCCAUUCAUCUGCUGAUGGACUCUUAGGUUGAUUCAAAAUCUUGGCUAUGGUGAGCAGUGCAGCAACACACACCUCCUGCAGGAUUCUGGAGCAGGGAAGCCUCCUGGAUCACAUUCAGACAACUCCCCUUGGGAUGACUCCCAGGGAGGGCACUGGGGUUGAGCUCACUUAUUAAUAUUGCUUGCUCUGUGUGCGAUGCAGUCACCUUCAACCCUCCAAAGACCUAAGGGGACAGAUGUUGCUCUCCCACUCCAGCUAUGAGGAGACUGAGGCCAAGUGAGGUUUCACGGUGUGCCUGACGUCCCAGGGAGAGUGAGGGUGGAGCUGAGCUCAGCGCAGCCUGAUGAACUCUCAGGAUGAUGCUCCCAGCCCCCAGUUGAAUGCGUUAACUGCCCAAUUCAGGCAGCCAUCCGCCCAAGGUGCUGGACCCAAAUGCAAGUUGCUGAUUUGAAUUCCGUGAGUGAUGUCUUCAACAGAAAGCCGAUUUCAGGAGUCCAUGGCUACCAGCAGAGCGCACACAAAAUCAAGAAGGAAUGCCAGAAUUGGGAGCUCACUGUCCACCCACGAGUCCUGCAGAGACAGAAAAGAGCAAGAGAGAAGAGAGUAGAGCCUUCGAGGAAGGAACAUUCUCCAGAUGAGAGGAGGAUAAAGUGCUGUGUCACUUUCUCCCCUAAAGGAAACUGUAUUCAUCAGGACUCACGAAGAAAAACUGUAAAAAAUCAACUGGGAUUACUUUAAACUAAAAAAGGACACGUAUCAUUCCUCUUAACUAAAAAGUUCAAGAAAGGGCUUUCAGGCAAGGCUGGAUCCAGGGGCUCCAAGGAGCUCCUCAGGACUCAAUCUUACGUUCACCAUCUGUUCAUUCUAUUAUCCUGCGUGGACUCCAUUUCAAGCCUGCAGCUCCCGGUUCAUAUCCUAGCCAUUUAGUAAUCCCAGUUAAGAAAAGUCACCUUGCUCAGGGCAGUCAGUUGUUCUGCAAAUGAAUACGUAAUUGUUCUGGCUGAGGGGCCUUGGGUCGCUGGCUGCCUCUGAGCCAAUCACUGUGUCCUGGAGAGUGAAAUGCAGAUUGGCCAGGCCUGCAUUCUGCACCCACCCCCAAGACCAGAAAGUUGGUCAGCCUGUUGCACUCUGCACUGAACGACAGAAAACAUACUGUCUUAUUUCCAUACGGUGGGAAUAAUAGAUGCCGGGCAGGAGAAAGCAACAGAGAUCCACUAAGAGAGAAGAAUUCGGGUGGGCGCUGUUUCAACUGCAUGGGGGCCCUCUGCCCCUCCCUGUCCUCCCUCAGGACCCCUGCCCUGCAGAAACGUGUUAAAAUGAAGACCACUCAUGGGAAAGAAGCAGCACCCACAUCUGUGCCAUGCCCCCUCGAGGACUGGCAGAGAACCAGCCGUGAGGGCAGGGGGUGGGGGCAGGGCCUGUGAUCAUCCCCUUCUUGGCAGGCCCUGCCCCAGGCCAACGGGACGGCUGCCUUCCUAGACUCUGGAGCACCUAGUGUCCACACUGGCCACCAGCCUCAUUCUGCUGCUCUGGGUGCUCUGUGAUCCAUGAAAGAGCCUGCACCCUUCUGGGCUGGGCUGAUGUUUUCUUCAUGGCAUGGCCUUCCUCUGGCCCAACCUUGUGGCCGGGCACAAAGUAGG
rnacentral:lncRNA from 13 species